AGAGUUUGAUCCUGGCUCAGGAUAAACGCUGCGGCGCACAUAAGACAUGCAAGUCGAACGAAUUAACCUAAAUGUUUUACAUUUUGGAGCGGUUAGUGGCGGACUGGUGAGUAACAUGUAAGCAAUCUGCCUAUUAGAGGGGAAUAACAACGAGAAAUCGUUGCUAAUACCGCAUAUGCCAUAUUUAUCGCAUGAUAAAAGUGGGAAAGGAGCAAUCCGCUAAUAGAUGAGCUUGCACCUGAUUAGUUAGUUGGUGGGGUAAUGGCCUACCAAGACGACGAUCAGUAGCCGGACUGAGAGGUUCAACGGCCACAUUGGGACUGAGAUACGGCCCAGACUCCUACGGGAGGCAGCAGUCGGGAAUAUUGCGCAAUGGAGGAAACUCUGACGCAGUGACGCCGCGUAUAGGAAGAAGGUUUUCGGAUUGUAAACUAUUGUCGAUAGGGAAGAAAAAGACGGUACCUAUCAAGAAAGCUCCGGCUAACUACGUG
rnacentral:rRNA from 1 species